rfam:Serratia symbiotica genome assembly, type strain CWBI-2.3T, contig: SYMBAF_Contig_10
GCACCUGCAAAAUCAGGUGCCGGGAUUAGCCUCCUGCCAGAUACAACCGCGCCAUAAUGACACGCCGCGAGCGUGUUUUUU